UCCGCCGCGCCGCCCCGCCCCGCUCGGCCCGGCGUGGGCAGGGCGUCCAGAGCGGGUGUCUGCCGGAGGGGCGGCGGACCCUCGGUCCACAGGGAAAAGGAGGGGGCUGUGAAGACUGGAGAAGGCACGAGGGUCCCCGCCCCCCAACCCUGGGCACCCCUUCUGGAUGCGGAGCCCCUGCUGCCUUAGUCCCAAUUCCUGCCUGGUCCACGGUGGGAGUGGGCGCUCCUCUGUUGUUUUCCUUGUCUUCUCACUACCUCCCUCCACCCGGGCCCCCCUCAGGCCUUGCGCCCGAAUUUGGACCUAGAGACAGGAUCCGAGAGGAACAGGCUGUGUUUCAGCUGGCGGGCUGUGCAGACCCGCCAGCGCGUCGGAAAGCUCCAAGUCUGGGCCCUGGCUCCUGAGCACCCUUCAGGGUCUGGACAGGACUCAUGCCUGUUUGUGCGUCAGAACACUGUUAGGCCUGAGAAGCCAAGAAAGAAGUAGAGGCCCCAGGAAGGGAAAGGAGGAAACUCCCGGCAGAGGAGCUGUCAGGAACGUCAGCGCAGCAGGCCGGGCUCCACGGGCUCCGCUUGGGUGAUUUCUGAGCUGCGGGACCCUUCUUUAAGGGAUCAUCAGGUGAAAAACAUGUACAGCUUGGAAAGUGAGUAAAUGUUUCUGCAUGUUUCCUUUUGGCUUGGAGAUUUGAAGAAAAAUGGUUUUAUUUGCUCAGAUAUUUCAAGUUUUCCUGGUCUUGGUUUGGAGGAGCUCUCUGUCCAGAAUACGUUAGUUCUGGUUUAAGGGUACGCUGCAAAGGAGGGGGAGCAAAAUGGAGUGAAGCUUUAGCUCCAAGGUCAGAGUCAACCUGGGCAGGAGAGCAGAAGUGCUGCCGACCAACCCCUACUCGUCCCCCGGGAACCUCACACCUGAGCAGGGCAGUCUGCUGGUUAGCGCAAUGCGUUAGACUUCAGAUUUUAGAUUAGUCUAGAGAGGCAGGUUAGGUGCUAUAUCCAAGAGCAGGAGGCCAUCUGCAGUUUCUCACCUUUUAACUGUGUGACCAGCCAGUGGAACAGCCACCUGUACCAGCCUGCCGGGCCCCACCUGGUGGGAGAGAAACAGGAGACCGAUUUACCUGGCCAAGUGUGCCAGGCUUGUCGUUCUGUUCAGAUGCCCACAGGGGGCUUGCGUAGCCGGUGAGGUUUCAUGUACAAACCCAUCCGGAAUCCACAAGGUGGGGAACUCCAUUCCUCGGCCAUGUGCUCACCCUCUAAAGGACCCCGUCUGCUUCCCUUACUCAAGGCACUUCCUCGCCCCGAGAGGGCUCACACAGGCCAGCCAAGGCUGCUCACUGUUGUCCUGAAAUGUCCAUCCACCCAUCACUGGGACCUGCCUUUGUCCUCAGAAGGCCCCAGCAUGAUGCGAAUCAUUUCUUAGGAUGGGCAUCCCAGGUGCUCUGUGAAACGGCGGGAGUGCAAGCGGAAAAACAAGAUCGUGUCGGGUGGGUCCUGAGGCCCAGGUACUGGAGGAGACACAUCUCCCUGUGUCCGGCCACUGAAUGUCCCAGGUCUGGACACCCCUGAAGUGCUCUGUGACCUCCAACAGGGUAUGUACCUCCCGGCAGUAACCAGUCUUGAGUCGAACCCUGACGUGGGAGCUCUGUGUUGGUUAACUCAGAAUCAUCCUCACUCCGUCGGUGGUUCGGUUUUCAUGCCCCUACAGGGGGGGUGGGGGAGGGGUGUGCAGGGUCAGGCACAGGUGGGAGCUGUGGCACAGCAUUCCGCCCAGGCCCUGCGCCCCCACCUGUGUAGCAUUCCCCGAACUUGUCUGACGGAGGAAGCCCUUUACGCAGCACACAGCAUCUUACAGGAACUCGCGUUUUCAGGAAGAUGGUUUCAGCAGCGCUGCAGUGACUGAUGCGAGCCCAGCAGAGAGCAUUGGUUUAUCAGACUUGCUGUGAAUGGAGCGGUGAGCAUACAUUGAGAGGAGGGGAAAAUGUGAUCUAAAACACAAGGCAGUAGAUUUCAAAGGAUAGUCUGCAGCCUUGUCACUCGGAGUGUGGUCCCCAGACCAGCAGCAUCGACACCCCUAAGGAGCUUGUUAAAAAUGCAGAGCCUCAGAGCACACCCCACGCCUACCUUACGUGCGGGCACCUGCAUCUUGACCGACUCCCCCUUCGCUCCACCUCUGUCCUCGGGGCAUCUGCUUCAGAAUCCUAGGGAGGCUCCUGAACGAUGCAGAGUCCUGGGUUCUGCCUGAGGCCUGCUGACGUGGAGCUUGGAGAAUGGGGCCUGGGACCUGGCCUUGUAACAAUGUCUUGGGGUGACGUUCACGCACACUAGCGUUUGAGAACCACUGGCCUGUCCCACAGGCAACAAGCAGCUCCUGGGAGCCUCCUAAAAAUGCUACUUCCUGGGCCGCCCCUGGAUCUACUGAGUCUGGGCGUCUAGGGGCCGAGCCUGGGAAUCAGCACGAGGAUGAUGGUGAAACGGACACAGCUGCCCUGAGGCGGGACUCCAGCCAGCUCUGCUCUGCCCAGCAUCCUGGGGCUAUGCCCACUGGGAGGAGGAGCUGUGAUCUCCGCCCCUGGAUCAAGAGCCCUAGAGAAAAGUGUGCUUUUGUUUCUAGGAGAGAUUAAGAAAAUGCAUUUGGGAGGGUAGCCUAUGAGUGGCUGUUUGCUCUCGACACCUGUAAACUGUUGACUGUAAUUGGACCACAGAUGUUCCCUGAGCCUGAUAGCUUUCUCUCCUCCGGCCGUGGAGGGGAGUCUGGGGAGGGGUUCUUCUCUAGAAGGAAAUCGAAUGAUUGUAUUGGGGCUGCAUUUCCUUGCCUUCCUCUGAUUUAAUCUGUUUUUCUACAUUUAUCAUUAUUAUUUUCGACACUUCAGUGUUAGACAAAAAGCUGUUUUGUAAAAAACCAGGGGGAUGUUAGCAAAAGGUGUGUUCAUAGAAUCAAACAGAAUCUUUGUGGGCAAAUGAAGGUAUUCAAAGUCCUGCAGAAAUGCAUGAAAUCCUCUUGAGCCCCCCAGCUCAAGGAGACCUCCCAGCGUGGAACAGAGAAGAGCAAUCUCACAGGAGAAAGCAGGAGAGAGCAUCUCUCAAGUCCAUCCCCUCCCCUCCAGCUACCCAUCGGAGCCCCGUCAUCUCUCACCUGGAUCCCUGCGCAGCCUCACUCCUCUCCCUGCAAACCUGGCCCCACGGGGACCACUGAAACUUGCAUCAGAGAACAUCACGUGAUGCCCUGCUUCAAGCCCUCAGGCUGGACCCUCUCGGAACCUCGAUGCUCUCUCUAUGGCCCACAGGUCCUGUGCCAUCUGGCCCCUCCGCCCCCUCCCCCUCGCUCUGCCCUUGCUAUCUGGAGCAUUCUGCCCCAGGUCUAGGCAAGGCCGACUGCUGCUCAGAGAUGCCCUGCAGGGCCCCCAGCAAGGCUGCUCGCCCACCUCUCCUCAGCCAGGACCUUUCACACCUAUCACAUCCCUCUGGUUCUGUCUGUCUGAUGUCUGCAGUACAACAGGGGCCUCUCUGCCCGGCCCCCUGCCCUCUCCCCAGCUCCCGGAUGGUGCCGGCCCAGGCUCAGCAAACAUCUGAAUAAAUGAAUGUCUGAGUGGAUGACUGGGAAAGCUGGGAGAGAAGGUGCAGUCUCCUGGGACUUAACCUUGGGGGAGUGGGGAGGGGUCGGUGAUGCCACGCUGCCUGAACUCCUGCCCCACGCCUGGGAAGAAGGAAUACCGGUGGUUUUUCUUCUUUCUUCUGUGAACUCUGGGGCAGAAUGAGAGCCAGGGCCGGGGGGAGGGUGGUUCAGCUGAAUGUGGCAACGACAAGGGGUUAGGAAGACAUCAGGGGGGAGUGGAAGGAGGAUGAUAAAAUGCAUGUUGGGGAAGAGGAACCGAUUAAACAGUCAACUAGAUAAUAUUAGAUUUAGAGGGAGGGAGAAAAUGGAGAUGUUGGAAAUAUGAGUAGACUGAGUGGCAAUAAAACAGGAGAGAGACCAAGAAAAUGGGGAAAAAGUAGAAAUGGACUUUCUGAGUUAAAGCAUCCGCCUGGGACUGGAGACUGCGCAGCCAGGACGCCCCUUUGGCUCAGCCGCUCAGGCAUCCCGGAGGAAUCGGGUUUCACCCGUAGGCUCACUGGUUGGAUGCUUUCAAAUUCCAUUUAACCCGGUUUGAUCAUCGAAUUUUGGGGGAUUGCUGCCGGUCACCUCCAGAGCACAAGCCCCUGCCGGCUGGACUCCUUGGGGGUGGGGCAGGGUUCCCCGCCCAGCCCCAGUCUGCUCAAGUGCAGCCAAGACAAGUGUCCUGUCCUCAAGAAGCAAGCCCUCCGUUCACCUUCACGAGCUGGGGCCCCACUUUGCUUUCUGGGUCUGUGGUUGAAGCUUCACGGAGAAGAAGCUGCAGAGGCAGACGGACGAAGCCGCCUGCUCAAGGACACGACCCCCCUGGGAGCCGCUUCUUUGGGAGAAGGCAGGGCCCUCACACUUCAGUUGAGCAACAGGGUCACCUGACAAGCAUUUUAAAAACAUGAGUGCUUGGACCUCAGACCAGCCCCGUAGGGUCACGUCCAGCAACUCUGUUCUUGACGUUCCCCAGAUGAAGUUAAAUGCACACCGGUGGUUGGGCAUUAAACCCCUUCUGAGUGUUUCUAUCUCAAUGCCUUAGUGUGACUUAAUUUUUGAUCUUUUUCUAGUAAAGGGGCUUCCAUGGGUUGGGAAAGUGAACACUUGAUUGAUGGAAGGAAAGGUGGCAGGGGCUCCAGAGGUGACUGAUUUCACCU
ensembl:lncRNA